rnacentral:rRNA from 1 species
UACGGAGGGGGGCUAGCGUUGUUCGGAAUUACUGGGCGUAAAGCGCACGUAGGCGGCUUUGUAAGUUAGAGGUGAAAGCCCGGGGCUCAACUCCGGAAUUGCCUUUAAGACUGCAUCGCUCGAGUUGUGGAGAGGUAAGUGGAAUUCCGAGUGUAGAGGUGAAAUUCGUAGAUAUUCGGAAGAACACCAGUGGCGAAGGCGACUUACUGGACACAUACUGACGCUGAGGUGCGAAAGCGUGGGGAGCAAACGGGG